rnacentral:misc_RNA from 1 species
GCAUCGGAAGGAUCAUUACAGAAUGAAAAGUGCUUAACUGCAUUUUUUCUUACACAUGUGUUUUUCUUUUUUUGAAAACUUUGCUUUGGUAGGCCUUCUAUAUGGGGCCUGCCAGAGAUUAAACUCAACCAAAUUUUAUUUAAUGUCAACCGAUUAUUUAAUAGUCAAAACUUUCAACAACGGAUCUCUUGGUUCUCGCAUCGAUGAAGAACGCAGCGAAAUGCGAUAAGUAAUAUGAAUUGCAGAUAUUCGUGAAUCAUCGAAUCUUUGAACGCACAUUGCGCCCUUUGGUAUUCCAAAGGGCAUGCCUGUUUGAGCGUCAUUUCUCCCUCAAACCCUCGGGUUUGGUGUUGAGCGAUACGCUGGGUUUGCUUGAAAGAAAGGCGGAGUAUAAACUAAUGGAUAGGUUUUUUCCACUCAUUGGUACAAACUCCAAAACUUCUUCCAAAUUCGACCUCAAAUCAGGUAGGACUACCCGCUGAACUUAAGCAUACAAG